rnacentral:rRNA from 1 species
CCUACGGGCGGCUGCAGUAGGGAAUCUUCGACAAUGGACGCAAGUCUGACCGAGCCACGCCGCGUGAGUGAAGAAGGCUUUCGGAUCGUAAAACUCUGUUGUUAGAGAAGAAAAAGGACGAGAGCAACUGAUCAUCCCUUGACGGUAUCUAACCAGAAACCCACGUCUAACUACGUGGCAGCACCCGGGGUAAUACGUAUGGGGCAAAAGUUGUCCGGAAUUAGUGGGCGUAAAGCGAGCGCAGGCGGGUUUGUAAGUGUGAUGUGAAAGCCCCGGGCUCAACCGGGGAGCGGCAUUGUAGACUGGGGGCCUGGAGGUCAGAAGAGGAGAGUGGAAUUCCGUGUGUAGAGGUGAAAUUCGUAGAUAUUUGGAGGAACACCAGUGGCGAAGGCGGCUCUCUGGUCUGUAACUGACGCUGAGGCUCGAAAGCGUGGGGAGCAAACAGGAUUAGAUACCCGAGUAGUC